GUUGAAGCACAGUAACUUUGAGAAUUCCUGAGAGAUCUUUAUGUUUUGUUUUGUUUUUUUGUUGGAGAGCUGCUUUAAUCCUGCAGCGAAGGGUGCUACAGGGGAUUCUGCAUCUUAGCUCCAGCACGACCAGAUCAAUGACCUUGUGCCGCAUGACCCCAAACGAUCCGUGGAGAUAUGGGAGACUAGGGAGACGAGGGCUCAUUAGAGGACAGAUGCUCACAGGCUGUCGGAGCCGGACAGAUGGGAUCCAGGCUGACCCCCCC
rnacentral:lncRNA from 1 species